rnacentral:rRNA from 1 species
GCAGCUUGCUGCUUCGCUGACGAGUGGCGGACGGGUGAGUAAUGUCUGGGAAACUGCCUGAUGGAGGGGGAUAACUACUGGAAACGGUGGCUAAUACCGCAUAACGUCGCAAGACCAAAGAGGGGGACCUUCGGGCCUCUUGCCAUCAGAUGUGCCCAGAUGGGAUUAGCUAGUUGGUGAGGUAACGGCUCACCAAGGCGACGAUCCCUAGCUGGUCUGAGAGGAUGACCAGCCACACUGGAACUGAGACACGGUCCAGACUCCUACGGGAGGCAGCAGUGGGGAAUAUUGCACAAUGGGCGCAAGCCUGAUGCAGCCAUGCCGCGUGUAUGAAGAAGGCCUUCGGGUUGUAAAGUACUUUCAGCGGGGAGGAAGGUGUUGUGGUUAAUAACCGCAGCAAUUGACGUUACCCGCAGAAGAAGCACCGGCUAACUCCGUGCCAGCAGCCGCGGUAAUACGGAGGGUGCAAGCGUUAAUCGGAAUUACUGGGCGUAAAGCGCACGCAGGCGGUCUGUCAAGUCGGAUGUGAAAUCCCCGGGCUCAACCUGGGAACUGCAUUCGAAACUGGCAGGCUUGAGUCUUGUAGAGGGGGGUAGAAUUCCAGGUGUAGCGGUGAAAUGCGUAGAGAUCUGGA